CUGGAAUGUUAGCAAGCUAUUUGCUGGAAAAAAUGCCCACAACAGGCCUAAUGUUGAUCACAUUAAUGCGUUUGAGUGAGUAUGGAGUGCAAAUGAUUGAAAAUGCUUCCAGAUCCCCGUUGCAAGGGACAAAGCAGGCUCUGUUCUCUGAUCUGAUGGUCAUUUUUUUUUCCAGCGGAGGAUGUGGGGCAGGAAGAGGGAAGAGGGCCAAUCUCUGUCUAAUGGUUCCAAACAGGGCCCGGGCCCGGCCCUCUGGAUGCUGACGAGUGGGAAAUGAAACACAGAUGGGUCAGAUGGGUAAGGAGAGGGGGAUUACAGGUCAGGCCAAAGAGUUGGAAUAAAUUAAGUGCUUAUGAGGUACAGAAUGGCACAUUGUUUAAGUGAAUGGACAGGGAAAAAACAUUCCAGCAUUGUUCAUCUGCCGAGGGAGCCCAACGCUCCUCUUCCCAGACGAGCCCAGGCCACAGAGCGCCUCCUCCUCGCCAGGAUGUUUGUGACCCACAGACUGAAAACGCGGCCAGGCGGUGCCCGAAACAUUCUCCCAGCCUCCAAAGAGGCCAGUUUGGCUUUAUUACACGGGAGAUGUAAUUUAUUGGGAGAAAUGUUUGGGUUCGUGUGUCGGAUGGUGGAGAGUCAGAUUUGGAGUUCCCUAGGGAUCUCCGAGGAGAAGGUAUGUUAAGGAAAUCACCAAGUCCCAGAGUGUAGACGAGCCCGAUCCCUUCGCAGCAGCGCGACAGAAAUUAUUUUCAGAAGUUUAUUUUCAUACCAGCCACGUUUCCAUUUUAUGGGCUUGACCUUUAGCAGAAUAUCCCACAGGCAACGCGGGAGACAGUGGUGCUCAUGCUGUGAGUAUGAAAAGCUUCUCAGUGGAUCGAUUGGGGCAGGGCAACUCCAGGCACACGGGGAGAUGACUCCCAACGACCAGUGUGGAAAGUCUGGAUGCAGCCUCUCUUUCAAAGGCCAGUGAUUUGCACUGUUAGGAUUUUAGUAAGUGGGUCCAAGUGAGUGAGAGCUGAUUAUGUGCACAUGUCAUCUUACUGUAUACUGUUUAGC
rnacentral:lncRNA from 1 species